AUUGAACGCUAGCGGGAUGAUUUACACAUGCAAGUCGAACGGAGUGGCGGACGGGUGAGUCAUAUAUCGGAACGUGCCCAGUAGCGGGGGAUAACUACUCGAAAGAGUGGCUAAUACCGCCUACUAUUGGAGCGGCCGAUAUCGGAUUAGCUAGGUGGUGGGGUAAAGGCUCACCAAGGCAACGAUACGUAGCUGGUUUGAGAGGACGACCAGGCACACUGUGACUGAGAAACGGCCCAGACUCCUACGUGAGGCAGCAGUGGGGAAUUUUGUACAAUGGGGGAAACCCUUAUCCAGCCAGCCCGCGUGUAUGAUGAAGGCCUUCGGGUUGUAAAGUACUUUUGGCAGAGAAGCGGUAUCUGCAGAAUAAGCACCGGCUAACUACGUGCCAGCCGCCGCGGUAAUUC
rnacentral:rRNA from 1 species